GUGAGGAAUAUUGCGCAAUGGAGGCAACUCUGACGCAGCCAUGCCGCGUGCAGGAAGAAGGCGCUACGCGUUGUAAACUGCUUUUAACCGGGAAGAAACCCCAGGACGUGUCCUGGGUUGACGGUACCGGAGGAAUAAGCACCGGCUAACUUCGUGCCAGCAGCCGCGGUAAUACGAAGGGUGCAAGCGUUAUCCGGAUUCAUUGGGUUUAAAGGGUGCGUAGACGGAGCGUUAAGUCAGUGGUGAAAUCCUGCAGCUUAACUGUAGACUUGCCAUUGAUACUGGCGCUCUUGAGUGCGCUUGAAGUGGGCGGAAUGUGUCGUGUAGCGGUGAAAUGCUUAGAUAUGGCACAGAACACCAAUUGCGAAGGCAGCUCACUAAGGCGAUACUGACGCUGAGGCACGAAAGCGUGGGGAGCAAACAGGAUUAGAUACCCCGGUAGUCC
rnacentral:rRNA from 1 species